rnacentral:rRNA from 1 species
GGGAAUUUUCCGCAAUGGGCGAAAGCCUGACGGAGCAAUGCCGCGUGGAGGUGGAAGGCCUACGGGUCGCCAACUUCUUUUCUCGGAGAAGAAACAAUGACGGUAUCUGAGGAAUAAGCAUCGGCUAACUCUGUGCCAG